rnacentral:rRNA from 1 species
AAUGAACGUUGGCGGCGUGGAUUAGGCAUGCAAGUCGAGCGAGAACCCCGCAAGGGGGGACAGCGGCAAACGGGGUAGUAAUGUAUCGGAACGUGCCCUCUGGUCGGGGAGAGCGGCGGGAAACUGCCGGUAAUACCCGAUGAACUCGAGAGAGCAAAGGUGUGAUUCCGCCGGAGGAGCGGCCGACAUGGUAUUAGAUAGUUGGCGGGGUAACGGCCCACCAAGGCUGUGAUGCCUAGGGGAUGUGAGAGCAUGAUCCCCACCAUUGGGACUGAGACACUGCCCAGACACCUACGGGUGGCUGCAGUCGAGAAUCUUCGUCAAUGGGCGAAAGCCUGAACGAGCGACGCCGCGUGCGGGAUGAAGGCCUUUGGGUUGUAAACCGCUGUCGAGGGGGAUGAAGGCUUGAAAGUCAUCUUUCAAGUUUGACAGAGCCCUGGAGGAAGCACGGGCUAAGUUCGUGCCAGCCGCCGCAGUAACAC